CCUCUGGUGGUUCUGGGGGCCCAGCACUCGAGAGCGCCUCCCGGCGGCUGGCAGACGUGGUGCAGGGCUUGCGCGGCUGGGCCCCAGAGGCGGUGGGACCGCGUGGGGCCGUUGUUCCCUGAUGAUGCGCACGUUUCAAUAGUACGGCUUCGCCACUCUCCCUGCAUCUUCUACCGAACUGGGUAUUUUUAAGCUCCCGUGUCACAGGGAAUUGGCUAGAAAGUUCAUGGGCGAAAAGCCGAGCAUCUCAACCAUGGCAUUUUGUUUUUGAUGUUUGGGGCUGGAGAAUUCCUGCUGGGCGGGGGGCUGUCUGUGCGCUGGAUGGGGGUUACCCUGCUACUCGUCUGGCCCCAGCCGCCCCCUGGAGGACACAGCACCCCAGGAACGCCACUGGUCUGAGUGAUCUUCCCAGAUGCCUGCAAAGGAAAACACACUCAUCAUCUCUUCACAGCUGGGUGUUUUCUAAGCCCCCGAACACGGCACACAGAUGCGCACCUACUGUGUGCUGCUACUC